UACGUAGGGUGCAAGCGUUAAUCGGAAUUACUGGGCGUAAAGCGUGCGCAGGCGGUGAUGUAAGACAGGUGUGAAAUCCCCGGGCUUAACCUGGGAACUGCAUUUGUGACUGCAUAGCUAGAGUACGGUAGAGGGGGAUGGAAUUCCGCGUGUAGCAGUGAAAUGCGUAGAUAUGCGGAGGAACACCGAUGGCGAAGGCAAUCCCCUGGACCUGUACUGACGCUCAUGCACGAAAGCGUGGGGAGCAAACAGG
rnacentral:rRNA from 1 species